rnacentral:lncRNA from 1 species
AUGGGAAUUUUUGAAACGUGGGCAAUAAAGCAUCAGGGAAACAUGGAUAAUUUUACACCAACUGCUCAUCGUGAGGCGGACCCCACGCUGAUCCGGGCGGAGCUGGCACCGCCCUCGCCCGCGUCCGCUCCUCCUCCGCCCGCGUCCGCUCCUCCUCCGCCCGUGUCCGCCCGCGUCCGCACCGCCCCCGCCCGUGUCCGCACACCCCCGCCCGGCCCCGGCGCUGCCGCCGUCCCCCCCGGCCCCGCCGCCUCUCGGAAGGAUGCGCUGCGCCUCCAGAGUCUGGCAGAACUAGAAGUCCUUUGUAAGCACCUGGAUGAAGGAACUGAUCCAGCACAGGAAUGCAAGCUGAGAAGGUCCUCUUGGAGCUUAUCAAGAGCCCUGGAUGCCUCAGCCAAUGCCAGCUUCUCCUGGAACAAGGAACACUCAGUGUUUGGGGGAUGUGUUAUCCAUAAAGGUCAUCGUGCUCGUGGAAGCUCAUGUAGAUUUCUCAGUCAUGGGGCAUUACCAGGGCACUGUGGACCAUUGUGUAACAGGAGUGAUUCUCUCAGAGCUGACUCAGGAAUGGAUCUGGUAAGCAUGGUUUGUUUUUUCCUUCUGCAGGGGAUGCUGGUAAAGCCUUUCAUACAAAUGGCUGGAGAAAUAUUUCUUAGACAUGAAGGGAUUAAAACACCUUCCUUCCAAAAUACACAUAGACACAAGAAAUUCUUAGUGCAGGGACUCCACCAGUACCACAUACAGACCUUUCUCUCAUCACAGUCACCAGAACUCGUAAAGCAAAGUGAGCAAUCAGUUGUGUUUCUGCUAAUGACUUUCUUUUGCCUACAUCUUAACCUGAGGAAGUGCCUCAGACCUGUCCAUCCAGAAAGAGGAACAACCUUGAAGGAAAAAAAGGAGGCAUGUCAGGAACUUGAUGAGAUCUGCAUUUAGUGCUGGGUCAUAAUUUUCAUUUCUGGUGUCAAAUAAUUAAUCUGCCAGAUAUCCAUCUAGUUUUAGCCAGGAAGGAACAUUGUUUAUUCUGUCGUUACAUUUCUUUGGUUGAUGAUUCAAGACCUUCAGCAAAGCACUGUAAAAGAGCUGCCCCAUUUUGUGACACCUCUCUGAAGGACAUGCUCAUGUGCUCUUUUGAAGGAGGUGAAGCUUUUCAUGAUUGAACCUAAAUUGCUCACAUCAUAAUUGUCCCUUAAUUUUUUCUGACUUGAUGAAUUCUGUGCUUAAAUGGAUUACAGGGUAAUUC